UAGAGGUAUUCAGACCCUUUGCUAUGAGACUCAAAAUUGAAGUCAGGUGCAUCCUGUUUCCAUUGAUCAUCCUUGAUGUUUCUACAACUUCAUUGGAGUCCACUUCUGGUAAAUUAAAUUGAUUGACCAUGAGUUGAAAAGGCACACACCUGUCUAUAUAAGGUCCCACAGUUGAAAGUGCAUGUCAGAGCAAAAACCAAGCCAUAAGGUCAAAGGAAUUAUCCGUAGAGCUCCAAGACAGCAUUGUGUCGAGGCACAGAUCUGGGGAAGUGUACCAAAACAUGUCUGCAGCAUUGAAGUUCCUCAAGAACACAGUGGCCUCCAUCAUUCUUAAAUGGAAGAAGUUUGGAACCACCAAGAGUCUUCCUAGAGCUGAAAAAAACAGGAAUCAGAGGAGAAGGGUCUUGGUCAGGGAGGUGACCAGGUGAUGAACCAGACUUGUGGAGGUCUACCAUUUUUUGUCUGAGGUCUUGGCUGAUUUAUUUUGAUUUUCCCAUGAUGUCAAGCAAAGAGGCACUGAGUUUGAAGGAAAGCCUUGAAAUACAUCCACAGGAACACCUCCAAUUGACUGAAAUUAUGCCAAUUAGCCUAUUAGAAGCUUCUAAAGCCAUGACAUUUUCUGGAUUUUUCCAAUUCUAAAUUCCUUUCGUAAGUAUUAUUUUAGAAUAAUUCUACUCAACAUUGCUAAAUAAGGCCCCUAAUGUGAGCGACUGGGUCACCAUAUUACCAAUUCUAAAAGACUCACCCUAUAGAGGGGAUUUUUUUUAAAUCAUACCGAGAAGAAAAAGGUUUCUUUCCUCAAAGUUUUCUACGACAGGAACAUUGUGCUCGAGGGUUGUAUCUUCAAAGUUGCAAAGCCUGUCCUGGAAACUGCUGUGGAACAGGUUGCUUCUCUGGAAUACUGCCUCACAAGAUAUGGCAGCAGCAGAAGGAUAUCUCCCAGAUGGUCAACGAACAGGAACAGCUACUCCGUCACCACGACCAGCUGCCUCAACUUGGUACGGUAAUGGAUAAGGUCCACCGCGUUCUCCACCACCUCUCCAACUAGUGGAGGAUCCUCUACCACGAGUCGUCCCAUCGAGCAGUCCGCCAAGGUCAUGCCCAGAAAAAUAUGACGGGACUCCAUCAAAAUUCCGUGGCUUCCUACUCCAGUGCCCUCUCUAUUUCGCCCAUCAGACAGGAGUCCCCACCACUGAGAGAGGUCCAAGGUUGCCACGGUCAUUUCCCGACUGACCGGACGGGAUUUGAAGUGGGCUACGGCUAUCUGGGAGAGGAGGAGCUGGGUUCCUAUGAGAGGUUCAUGGCUCUGUUCAGGGCGAACUUUGAUCAUCCAGGGCAAAGAGGGAGGUGAGUGACUACUUGGGACUGUGGCAGCCUCCAGAGAUGGAAUGAACCUGCGCUCCGCACUUUAUUCUGAAGAGGACUGCCCGUCCAGGCAGAGUUCCUUGGACGCCUUCAUAACGAUGGCCAUUCAUCUGGGUAACCUUCUUUGAGAGCACCGGCACCCCCUCUCUCGCCUUCCUCCUUUGGCCUUCCUGAAACAGAGCCUGAACCCAUGGAGGUAGGGGCCACACACCUCUCUGCGGCAGAGUGGCGGAGACAGCUGGGGCUCUGUUCCUGUUGUGGUCAGGAGGGGCACAUGCUUCAGCAGAUUCUGGUGCAUUCCAACCCGGAGUCCACGAGGGCAGAUGGGUGGCCCCGUGAUCAUCCGUCUCCCGGGCUCUAGUGGACUCUGGCGCCACAGGAAUUUAAUCGACCAGGCCCUCAACUCCUUCCACCGCCUCUCCUCAAGGGUGGUCCCCGUAAGUUUGUGUGGGGUGUCCUGCAGGCGACGCGGCCUUCCGUAAAAUGAAAGGGCGUUUCACCUCCUCCCCGUUGCUGAAACACCCAGAUUCUACACUGCCCUUUGUGGUAGAGGUGGACGUUUCAGAAGUGGGUGUGGGGCUGUCCUGUCCCAACGUCAAGGUAACCCACAGAAAUUGUAUCCAUGUGCAUACUACUGUCAUGUAAAGUCAUACACAGGGACACUCAGUCAAUCUUGUAUGAAUCAUUGUUCAUCAUCAAGCUGGAGAGGUUCCAACCAACUUAAUGCACCAUACGUACACAUGUCGAUCAGGAGCUCUAACGGGGCAGUCCUGUUAGUUCCCUUAUAUACUAACAAGUUAUAUUUGCAUGAUUUAGCUUAUUCAUAAUUAAAGUUUGCUUCACUCAUGU